UGAGGGCGGCGGUGAAAACUUAACAACCCGCACGCUCAAAAAAAAAUUAAUAUUAUGCAGUGAAGAAGAACAUAUCAAAAUACUGACGUUUGCCAGUGUUUCGUGUUCGUGUUUAUUUGUUGCACAGUUUCCUGAUUUCAACGAUUUAAGUUCCAUGUGGCACAACUAUUUCCGAAAGAUGCAUUUUACUUGGCAUUAGGGUUAUCAUUAUAACCAUCACGCAUACGUAUAGCCCCAAAAAUAAUUUUGCGCGGCGGCCAUCUUGAAUUUCAAAUACGAUCAACAAAUACCAUCUUGAAUUUUCAUAGAGUUUCACAUCAUCACAACGAUUCUAAAGAAGUUUCACUUCAAAAAUUGUUGCAACCAAAAUUGUACGUGUUGUUUUCAUUAAUUUAUUUCUUCUUUCCUAUUACAUAUAAUCUACUAUUUUUAUUUAAUUUGCAACAAAAUCCACACAAACGAAAAUCAAAAGGUAACUUAUUUGGUUUUGUCAAGGUGACGUUAAAAUUUCGAACAAACAGAUGCCAUAUUCUAAUUUUCGUUCGCAACGUUAAGAUUCGAAAAGUCAAUUUUUUUUUUGAUUUUUUAAUAAUAUCUGAAAAAACGGUUAGAAGUAGUCGUAGUACUAUCUACAUGGUAGUUUACGCACUAGAUCCAGCUUCCGUCAUCCGAUUUCUUUCCGUCAGCCGUUAGAAAUACAUAGUUCUACGAAUUACAGCGGGACCGUAUUUUCACGAGUACGGAUCAUACGUAGUGUGAAAGCGCUCUAAGACACGUUUUAUAAUAACUGUAAUAAGAACAGUUACAAAAAUAGUUUUUGUAAGUCGCAUUAUACCUAAGAUGUCGUCUGAAAUAUGAGAUAGAAUGUUUUUAAUACAAAAUAUUAUCUGAUAAAGAGCGCUGGAGGUAUAUUAAAUUAUAGAGAUACAUAAUUAUAAUUGUUUGAUGGAUCUAUAGAUAGGUAACACUUGAAAGCGUUAAACCGCUAAUCGAAUGCUACACGAUCUAAACGUCUUAUAUCAGCCAGCACUCUAGAUUAUAUGAUGAUUCUAUUAGUGAUAAAAUUGUGAAAUGUUAAUUGAACGUUACCUCAUCUCGGGAGAGGUCGAGGGGCACCACUGCUGCUCGUUAAUGUUCGCAAGUGACGUGAAGUGCCUCCUGGAGCCGCGAGUCCCGGCAGCGAGCUGCGAUGACGAGCGGCCCGGACUCGGCGAGUGGCCGGCUGCGGGCCCACUACCGGGAGAAUGUUGUGUUCAUGUCGGCUGAAGGUGUGCUAAAGGUUCUCUCCGUUAUACUCUGCGUGGUGUCGGCGGUGCUGCUGCUGACGAGCGGCUCGUGCUCCUCGGCUCCGCGGCUACUGUCGGGCGCCGCGCUGCUGCUGCUCGUCUCCGCCACACUCCUCGCCUGUCUCUUCGGUGGGACUGCCCUGGCCAUCACCAAUUACGCACCGACUGCUUGGCUCCUUUGUGAUAUUAUAGUAUCGUGCGCCAUCGGAGCCGGCCUGUUGCUGGUUGCCGCCCUCGGAAUAGCUCUCUGUCACAUGGAGCAUGGAGUGGACUACGUGCACGCGCCUCUAGCAAUGGUGAAUGCUGGCCUGGUGAUAGGGAGUGCAGUGAUCACCUACAUGAGUGUCAUGAGAGGCCGGGACACUCUUCAUACAACACCUGCUCCUCACACCCACCACACCAAUGAACAAGAUGUCUGAUCUGUAUUAAUAUUAUAGAUACCAACAUAUAGCUUAAGAGGUUUAAUAAUGUAAAAAUAUAAUAAAAAUUGUUUA